CAGUAGCCGCGGUAAAACAGAGGGUGCGAGCGUUAAUCGGAUUUACUGGGCGCAAAGCGUGCGUAGGCGGCUUUUUAAGUCGGAUGUGAAAUCCCUGAGCUUAACUUAGGAAUUGCAUUCGAUACUGGGAAGCUAGAGUAUGGGAGAGGAUGGUAGAAUUCCAGGUGUAGCGGUGAAAUGCGUAGAGAUCUGGAGGAAUACCGAUGGCGAAGGCAGCCAUCUGGCCUAAUACUGACGCUGAGGUACGAAAGCAUGGGGAGCAAACAGGAUUAGAUACCCCGGUAGUCCCUGUCUCUUAUAC
rnacentral:rRNA from 1 species